rnacentral:lncRNA from 1 species
UUCAGAAGGCAGAGCAGAGUCCCAGCUGGGACAGAUGUCUCAAGGCACAAAAUACGUCCUUUUCUCUGGAGAUCUACUUAUAGGUGAAGUGUCACUGUUUGGUGCUCUCUGGACAGAUUGUUAUCAGGGAACGUUUCUGCUGGUACAGAGGCUGAGACGUGUUCCACCACACUGGAGCCAUUUACGAAGGAACUACUUUGAGUUUUAGGUUUCCCCUAAAAGAAAGAUUCAUCUUAGCGUUAUUGGACAAAUGACUUCUAGAGGUGCCUAUUUUCUUUCCUAUGAAAGGAGCUUCCAUGACCAUCCUUAAAACAUGGGUCUCUCUUUCAGGAAGAUAAAGGACAAUUGCCAUAAACAGUGAUUAUAUUUAGUGAUAUCCACUGCUGGUAGUCAUGCAUAGACAUGCAUAGUCAUGACUUUUCACCUCACUCAAUGGACUUAAUUAAAAAAAAAAAGAGGAGAAUACUUAGGCUAAAUAUUGGCACGUGGGGAAGGAAAGGAAAAGAAGGUGGCAAACACCAAGCAAACAAGAAGGCAUUCAAGUGACUUAGGAAAGAAUCAAGGAAUGAAGUGGAGUGGAGGCAGCAAUGUGAGCUGGUUCUCCUUUCAUGCACCAGGAAGGGCCAAGAAGUUGUAUUUGUAUGAGUGGUUCCCUUAGAGUGUUCAUGAGAAAUCUGUGGUGAAUUCAAGCAACAAACAGGCAACCUUUUGUGUUCA